AAUGAACGCUGGCGGCGUGCUUAACACAUGCAAGUCGAGCGAGAAAGGUCUUCGGACUGAGUAAAGCGGCGAACGGGUGAGUAACGCGUGGGAAUCUACCUUUUGAUGGAGAAUACCCUCGAGAAAUCGAGGUUAAUACUGCAUAAGUCUCUUCGGAGAGAAAGAUGGCUUUCGGGCUGUCGUCGAAAGAUGAGCCUGCGUACUAUUAGCUAGUUGGUGGGGUAAUGGCCUACCAAGGCGAUGAUGGUUAACCGGCCUGAGAGGGUGUACGGUCACACUGGAACUUAGACACGGUCCAGACUCCUACGGGAGGCUG
rnacentral:rRNA from 1 species